rnacentral:ncRNA from 1 species
AAGUGAAAAGGGCAAAUCAUGGGAAACUGUGAGACGCAAAGCCAAGGGCCUGAACUUCAUUUGCGGAAUAUUCUGGAAUUGAAGAUGGCAGCCGGUUACCACA